rnacentral:rRNA from 1 species
UACGUAGGGUGCAAGCGUUAAUCGGAAUUACUGGGCGUAAAGCGUGCGCAGGCGGUUGUGCCAGACAGAUGUGAAAUCCCCGGGCUCAACCUGGGAAUUGCAUUUGUGACUGCACGGCUAGAGUGUGUCAGAGGGGGGUAGAAUUCCACGUGUAGCAGUGAAAUGCGUAGAGAUGUGGAGGAAUACCGAUGGCGAAGGCAGCCCCCUGGGAUAACACUGACGCUCAUGCACGAAAGCGUGGGGAGCAAACAGG